rnacentral:rRNA from 1 species
AUACGGAGGGUGCAAGCGUUGUUCGGAAUCACUGGGCGUAAAGGGCGCGCAGGCGGUUUGGUAAGUCAGAUGUGAAAGCCCACGGCUCAACCGUGGAAGUGCAUUUGAAACUGCCAGACUUGAGUACCAGAGGGGAAAGUGGAAUUCCCGGUGUAGAGGUGAAAUUCGUAGAUAUCGGGAGGAAUACCGGUGGCGAAGGCGACUUUCUGGCUGGAUACUGACGCUGAGGCGCGAAAGCGAGGGGAGCAAACAGGAUUAGAAACCCUAGUAGUCC